rnacentral:piRNA from 1 species
UAAAAGUGAGAUGGAUUGAUUGCUUACUU